rnacentral:lncRNA from 1 species
UUUUUUUUAUUUUAUUUUCUUUUUUCGUUGGGGAUAACAUUCCGCCACACUUGUUUUUCUGCAAUACUGUUGCUCAAAAGGAAUUCCCUCUAAGUCAUGCUCCACUAUACUUUAAGAACAAGGGUAUGGAUAGUUCUAUUCUUGGCUAGGUAGGGAUAAUGUGGCUAACAAAGAAAAUAGGCUAAAUAAGGCUCAAAGGGGUUAAACCUACAAAACAUAUGCAAGGGAUUAAGGCUUUUUGGCUCUGGUGGUAACUACUAAACAACUUGAUCUUGUUAUAUGUUAUGCACUCAAUUUUAAGCUUUGAAUGAGACGGGCAUGAGUUCUAGUAUUUAGAACUAUAAUGAUGAAAACGCAUUCUAAGUAGCAACCAAGCAAAGAAACAAUGAGAUCAUGCAACGACUUUAGAAAACAUGUUACAAAAGCUUUAGUUUGUAGCUUUAGUUUGAGUUCCUUCCUUCAAGCAUGUUACAAAAGCUUUAGUUUGAGUUCCUUCCUCCAAUCAAAGUUUAGGCUCAAGUCUCUCAAGGUUGUAGCUUUAGUUUGAGUUCCUUCCUUCAAGCAUGUUACAAAAGCUUAUUUUUUUUCCUUUGUGAUUACAUGUGAAUUCGUAAACAUCAACUACAACCAAGUAUUAACCAAAAAGUAUAUCAAAGUUCCAUCCAUGUUUGUAACUUUCUUUAACAGUCAUGGAAUUAACAACCAAAUCCUCAUCAUUGUGUUGGAAGGUACCCUAAGACACAAACAAACACACAAAAAUGACUCUGUUUGGUUUUUUCAAUACUUUUUCUAAUUUUUUUUUUCAAAUUUUCGUAUUUUUCUUUCAAAACACACUAAAACACUUCAAAACACACUAAAAACACUUAAACAGUAAAAAACAACUAUAGAAGUGAUAGGUGGUAAAAUACCACGAAAAUCAAUGAAAAACACUUUGUUUACCCCUCCACACUUAAACCAAACAUUGUCCUCAAUGUUUUAAACAAAGUCUUACACUCCAACCAUCAAAACAACACAACGAACAAACACAACUAUCAUGGCAAAGUAUAAGCAAUAAAGAGUAGGGUUUAGGAACGCAAAUCUGCUUAUGAAGCGAUUCCUAGGUCUUCCUUAUUUGAAUACAUGGGUUGCCUCCCAAGAAGCACUUGCUUUAACAUCUUCCAGCCGGACGAUACCUCUUUUUAAGCUUCAUUGGAGCCCAUGGCAUUGAGGGGUAUUUCCUCCACCACAUGCUCCUCGAAAUUCCCCUGAUUUGGCUCAAUGAAUUGAAGGGGAUAGUAAUCCUUCCUGAUUGUGGUGUUGAGCUUCCUAAAAUCAAUGUAAUUAUUCCCACCAGCUUGGAUUCAAUUGGGGACCUGCACCAUACAAGGUAACAACCUAUUAUUUGAAAUGGGAAUUGGAAUUGGACUAGAUGGCUCACCAAUAUAUUGCAACGAAGGCUCAAAAGUAACAACUGUUGGAAAUAUGCCCUGAAAGUCAAUCUUUGGAAGAAACCUUUCAGGACAAAUGAAUCGAUGUAUGG